UACGAAGGGGGCUAGCGUUGCUCGGAAUUACUGGGCGUAAAGGGCGCGUAGGCGGCCGAUCAAGUCAGGCGUGAAAUUCCCGGGCUCAACCUGGGGGCUGCGCUUGAGACUGGUUGGCUAGAGGCCGAGAGAGGGUGGUGGAAUUCCCAGUGUAGAGGUGAAAUGCGUAGAUAUUGGGAAGAACACCGGUGGCGCAGGCGACACGCUGGGCUGUAACUGACGCUGAGGAACGAAAGCUAGGGGAGCAAAUGGG
rnacentral:rRNA from 1 species